rnacentral:rRNA from 1 species
UGGGCGACUCUAAAGGGACUGCCGGUGUUAAACCGGAGGAAGGUGGGGAGUGACGUCAAGUCCUCAUGGCCUUUAUGACCAGGGCUACACACGUACUACAAUGGCCGAUACAAAGGGCAGCGACACUGCGAGGUGAAGCCAAUCCCGUAAAAUCGGUCUCAGUCCGGAUUGGAGUCUGCAACUCGACUCCAUGAAGUUGGAAUCGCUAGUAAUCGUGGAUCAGCAUGCCACGGUGAAUACGUUCCCGGGCCUU